GAGAGAUUGACAUUCAUCACAUACACACAAUGCACCCCUUGCACACAGAAAAACACACAAUGCAUUACACACACAGACACACAUACACAAGCAAUGCAACCGUUACACACAAUGCAUCCCUUACACACACAGAAACACACAAUGCAUUCAUUACACACACUCAAUGCAUCCCUUACACACAUUCAAUGCAUCCCAUACAUACACAGAAACACACCUUGCAGCCCUUACACAUACAAACACAAUUUCACACAAUGCAUUCCUUACACAUAUAUCAGGACAUCCCCUACACACUCCACCCCCUGUGAACAAACUCAUUGGU